UUUAGAGUAUAAACUCUAAUAUCUUUGGUAUUUAAGUGUCAACAUCGAUUUAUUUAUUUAUUGCUGAGCUGACUGUAACUGACUCAAUAACAAAUCUAAUCAUGUAUUGCACUGGGAAAGAAAUAUUCUUAUUAUGCAUUUUUUCCAAAUGAUGGCCCACCAUUGUAUUUGAAUACACGCUGUAAAUAUCAGUAAUAUCGAGUAAUUACUCUGUAGUGGAGUAAACUAAUUUAUUAGUAUUAAUGUUUAUGUGGCUCCUAACCCCCUCCUUUACAAGGGUUGCAUAUCACAAAUCAAACUACUCAGACACAUUGGUUUAAUGAACUCUUUAUUCAGGAUUUGCUGCAAGAAUUUUCAUGCCCCUUAAAUCCCUGAGAGCUGAAUUUGAAAUUAUUUGUGCGUCUUCAGUUUGACUCAUUUGUCCACUGUGGCUUGUGCAGAGGGCAGUAUUGGUGUAAGAAGGUCUGGUGGGAAGGAAGGUUGUUUGGGAAGGGUAGCUUGAGACCUCCUAAAGCUGGAAAUCACAGUUUCAGGAUUGCUCUGCAGUGAAAAAACUUCUAUUUCCAGGGGUGACCAACAAGGCAAAAUAUUUAUUUCUCCACAGCCUCUCUUUCUUGAAAUCAGAAUAUAAAAGGGAGAAGGAGAGGAGGCCCAACAGCCAAGCUGAGCCCACCCAGCUCAAAGGAAGACCCGAUGGGGGCUAGAGCCGCCCUGGAAGGCCAAGUGCGAGUUGCAUUUUUUGAAGAGUCCAGGACGGGCAAGGCUGUGACAUUGGCCCUGAAGACUGGUCUUCCAUGAGUUGUUCUUUCUCAGGAGCUCCACAGCGCAGGGCCAUUCUCCAGAAAACAGUCUUCAAUGUGUAUUUCCUUCCAUCGUCAACCCAGAGCCCCACGGCAGCUAAUGCAAGAGGCCAAAAAUGUUUGGGAGGAAGAAAAACAAAGGCAGGAAGUGGCGGCGGACUGACGGUGCGUGUGUGUCUGCGGAGAAGGGAGGGAGUCGUUUCAAUCUCAUCUUGUUUUUCCAAACUUCAGGGUCUAGGCAGCUCUCCGCAGGCCGGCCCGCGCUCCCUGCGCUGCUUUUGGAGAUGGCCACCCGGAGAGGAGAAGGCUGGCGCCCGAGCCAGCCUUGUCAGGCGGAAACGACUAACGAGGCGAUUUGCUCAGCAAAGCAGACCAAGCCUUUCUAAACUUCAUUUGAUUUGGCCCUAAAAGUUGGGGGUUGGGGAUUCUGCAGCGCCUCCUGGACCUUCCUAGGCGGGCGGACUGAGUGCACCUUGGCGGAGACUCGUGAGCCCUGUGCUCCACAUGCCUUCCCAGGCGGGAUAUCGAAAUAAAGUGUGUCCAGGUGCUUCUGGCCAGCAC